GAUGAACGCUGGCGGCGUGCCUAAUACAUGCAAGUCGAGCGAACGGACGAGAAGCUUGCUUCUCUCAUGUUAGCGGCGGACGGGUGUGUAACACGUGGAUACCCUACCUAUCAGUCUGGGAUCAUUUCGGGACACCGGAGCUUAUCCCGGAUGAUCUCUUGAUCCGCAUGGUUCAAUAGUGAAAGUCGGUCUUGCUGUCACUUAUAGAUGGAUCCGCGCUGCAUUAGCUAGUUGGUACGGUAACGGCUUAGCACGGCAACUAUGCAUAGCCGACCUGAGAGGGGGAUCGGCCACACUAGAACGUGGACACGGACCAUACGCCUGCGAGAGGCAGCAGUAGGGAAUCGGCCGCAAUAGGCGAGAGCCUGACGGAGCAGCGCCGCGUGAGUGACGAAAGUCUUCGGAUCGGGAUACUCGGUUAUUAGGGAUGAACAGAUGUGUAAGUUACUGAGCACAGCUUGACGGUACCGAGUCAGAAAGCCACGGCUAACUACGUG
rnacentral:rRNA from 1 species